UACGAAGGGAGCUAGCGUUGUUCGGAAUCACUGGGCGUAAAGCGCACGUAGGCGGACCAGUUAGUUGGGGGUGAAAUCCCGGGGCUCAACCCCGGAACUGCCUCCAAAACUGCUGGUCUGGAGGUCGAGAGAGGUGAGUGGAAUUCCGAGUGUAGAGGUGAAAUUCGUAGAUAUUCGGAGGAACACCAGUGGCGAAGGCGGCUCACUGGCUCGAUACUGACGCUGAGGUGCGAAAGCGUGGGGAGCAAACAGG
rnacentral:rRNA from 1 species